GACGAACGCUGGCGGCGUGCCUAAUACAUGCAAGUCGACAACAACGGCGGACGGGUGAGUAACACGUAAGGAACCUACCGAUAAGCGGGGGACAACAUCCGGAAACGGGUGCUAAUACCGCAUACUUAUCGAUGGCCUUGCGGUGCAUUAGCUCGUGGGUGGGGUAACGGCCUAACAAGGAAAGGAUGCAUAGCCGACCUGAGAGGGUAUGCUGCCACAUUGAGACUGAGACACGGCCCAAACUCCUACGUGAGGCAGCAGUAGGGAAUCUUCCGCAAUGGGCGCAAGCCUGACAGAGCAACGCCGCGUGAGUGAAGAAGGUUUUCGGAUCGUAAAGCUCUGUUGUAAGAGAAGCGGUAUCUUACCAGAAAGCCACGGCUAACUACGUGCCAGCAGCCGCGGUAAUAC
rnacentral:rRNA from 1 species